AUGAACGCUGGCGGCGUGCCUAAUACAUGCCGGUCGAGCGAACGGACGAGAAGCUUGCUUCUCUGAUGUUAGCGGCGGACGGGUGAGUAACACGUGGAUAACCUACCUAUAAGACUGGGAUAACUUCGGGAAACCGGAGCUAAUACCGGAUAAUAUUUUGAACCGCAUGGUUCAAAAGUGAAAGACGGUCUUGCUGUCACUUAUAGAUGGAUCCGCGCUGCAUUAGCUAGUUGGUAAGGUAACGGCUUACCAAGGCAACGAUGCAUAGCCGACCUGAGAGGGUGAUCGGCCACACUGGAACUGAGACACGGUCCAGACUCCUACGGGAGGCAGCAGUAGGGAAUCUUCCGCAAUGGGCGAAAGCCUGACGGAGCAACGCCGCGUGAGUGAUGAAGGUCUUCGGAUCGUAAAACUCUGUUAUUAGGGAAGAACAUAUGUGUAAGUAACUGUGCACAUCUUGACGGUACCUAAUCAGAAAGCCACGGCUAACUACGUG
rnacentral:rRNA from 1 species